rnacentral:rRNA from 1 species
GGGGCAGCAGUAGGGAAUCUUCCACAAUGGACGAAAGUCUGAUGGAGCAACGCCGCGUGAGUGAAGAAGGGUUUCGGCUCGUAAAGCUCUGUUGGUAGUGAAGAAAGAUAGAGGUAGUAACUGGCCUUUAUUUGACGGUAAUUACUUAGAAAGUCACGGCUAACUACGUGCCAGCAGCCGCGGUAAUACGUAGGUGGCAAGCGUUGUCCGGAUUUAUUGGGCGUAAAGCGAGUGCAGGCGGUUCAAUAAGUCUGAUGUGAAAGCCUUCGGCUCAACCGGAGAAUUGCAUCAGAAACUGUUGAACUUGAGUGCAGAAGAGGAGAGUGGAACUCCAUGUGUAGCGGUGGAAUGCGUAGAUAUAUGGAAGAACACCAGUGGCGAAGGCGGCUCUCUGGUCUGCAACUGACGCUGAGGCUCGAAAGCAUGGGUAGCGAACAGGAUUAGAUACCCUGGUAGUCCAUGCCGUAAACGAUGAGUGCUAAGUGUUGGGAGGUUUCCGCCUCUCAGUGCUGCAGCUAACGCAUUAAGCACUCCGCCUGGGGAGUACGACCGCAAGGUUGAAACUCAAAGGAAUUGACGGGGGCCCGCACAAGCGGUGGAGCAUGUGGUUUAAUUCGAAGCAACGCGAAGAACCUUACCAGGUCUUGACAUCCAGUGCAAACCUAAGAAAUUAGGUGUUCCCUUCGGGGACGCUGAGACAGGUGGUGCAUGGCUGUCGUCAGCCG